AUUGAACGCUGGCGGCAGGCCUAACACAUGCAAGUCGAGCGGAUGAGUGGAGCUUGCUCCAUGAUUCAGCGGCGGACGGGUGAGUAAUGCCUAGGAAUCUGCCUGGUAGUGGGGGACAACGUUUCGAAAGGAACGCUAAUACCGCAUACGUCCUACGGGAGAAAGUGGGGGAUCUUCGGACCUCACGCUAUCAGAUGAGCCUAGGUCGGAUUAGCUAGUUGGUGAGGUAAAGGCUCACCAAGGCGACGAUCCGUAACUGGUCUGAGAGGAUGAUCAGUCACACUGGAACUGAGACACGGUCCAGACUCCUACGGGAGGCAGCAGUGGGGAAUAUUGGACAAUGGGCGAAAGCCUGAUCCAGCCAUGCCGCGUGGGAAGAAGGUCUUCGGAUUGUAAAGCACUUUAAGUUGGGAGGAAGGGCAGUAAGUUAAUACCUUGCUGUUUUGACGUUACCAACAGAAUAAGCACCGGCUAACUUCGUGCCAGCAGCCGCCGUAAUAC
rnacentral:rRNA from 1 species